rnacentral:tRNA from 1 species
GAGGUUUUAGCUUAAUUAAAGUGUCUGAGUUGCAAUCAGGCGAUGCAAGUUAGAGUUUUGCAGGCCUUC